AGGCUUUAGCUUAAUAAAAGCUUUCGAUUUGCAGUCUGAAGAUGCGGGGUAGAGUCCUGCAAGCCU
rnacentral:tRNA from 1 species